GAUGAAGAACGUAGCGAAAUGCGAUAAGUAAUGCGAAUUGCAGAAUUUCCGUGAGUCAUCGAAUCUUUGAACGCACAUUGCGCCCGCCAGUAUUCUGGCGGGCAUGCCUGUUCGAGCGUCAUUUCAACCAUCAAGCCCCCGGCUUGUGUUGGGGACCUGCGGCUGCCGCAGGCCCUGAAAACCAGUGGCGGGCUCGCUAGUCACUCCGAGCGUAGUAAUACAUCUCGCUCAGGGCGUGCUGCGGGUUCCGGCCGUUAAAAGCCUUAUUUACCCAAGGUUGACCUCGGAUCAGGUAGGAAGACCCGCUGAACUUAAGCAUAUCAAUAAGCGGAGGA
rnacentral:misc_RNA from 1 species